CCGGGUUUCGGUUCCUGCCACGGCCGAGGUCUGUGUCCUGAAGCUUGGCAGAUGAGCGAACUUAGCCAGCACACCCCCGGCCGUGAAGCAGGGAGGUGAAGCGGGGAGAGCAACGAGCCCCACCCGGGUCUUGCCAGCUGGACGUUCUUGUGGGGCAGCGUUGAGCAGCGGUUAGGAGUGCCGUGGACUUUGGAUUCAAACAGCCCCAGCUCUUCUGCUUGCUAGCUGGGUGACUUUGGGCAAAUUAACAUCUCGAAAAUCUGUUUCCUCAUUCCUAAAAUGCGGGUCUGAAAGUGAUCAUGCCUGUAAAGCCAUCUCAUAUCCAUGGUUCUAGAAGCAUGGUGAGCACCUCAAUUUGAAUAAUCAGUGCCAUGCUUUAGCUACCUCUUGACUCACUCGUUUGUGGCAGGAAAUGUUCCCAAAUUAAUCAGAAGAAUUCAGUGACUAAGAGGAUGUAAUAGUAUAUAGCGCAGGCACUGGAAUCAGCUCUGCUGUGUGAUCUUGGACAAGCUGCUUCUGUUCCGUUUCUCUUAUCUGGGGCAAUACCUGUCUGAAUAGAGUGACUGUUGGGAC
rnacentral:lncRNA from 10 species